GUGGGGAAUCUUGCGCAAUGGGCGAAAGCCUGACGCAGCCAUGCCGCGUGAAUGAUGAAGGUCUUAGGAUUGUAAAAUUCUUUCACCGGGGAAGAUAAUGACGGUACCCGGAGAAGAAGCCCCGGCUAACUUCGUGCCAGCAGCCGCGGUAAUACGAAGGGGGCUAGCGUUGCUCGGAAUUACUGGGCGUAAAGGGCGCGUAGGCGGACAUUUAAGUCAGAGGUGAAAGCCCAGGGCUCAACCUUGGAAUUGCCUUUGAUACUGGAUGACUUGAGUUCGGGAGAGGUGAGUGGAAUGCCGAGUGUAGAGGUGAAAUUCGUAGAUAUUCGGCGGAACACCAGUGGCGAAGGCGACUCACUGGCCCGAUACUGACGCUGAGGCGCGAAAGCGUGGGGAGCAAACAGGAUUAGAACCCGAGUAGUCC
rnacentral:rRNA from 1 species